CUAAGUAGUGGUGCCGCAGGUAAC
rnacentral:miRNA from 1 species